GAUGAACGCUGGCGGCGUGCCUAAUACAUGCAAGUCGAGCGAACAGAUAAGGAGCUUGCUCCUUUGACGUUAGCGGCGGACGGGUGAGUAACACGUGGGUCACCUACCUAUAAGACUGGAAUAACUCCGGGAAACCGGGGCUAAUGCCGGAUAACAUUUAGAACCGCAUGCUUCUAAAGUGAAAGAUGGUUUUGCUAUCACUUCUAGAUGGACCCGCGCCGUAUUAGCUAGUUGGUAAGGUAACGGCUUACCAAGGCAACGAUACGUAGCCGACCUGAGAGGGUGAUCGGCCACACUGGAACUGAGACACGGUCCAGACUCCUACGGGAGGCAGCAGUAGGGAAUCUUCCGCAAUGGGCGAAAGCCUGACGGAGCAACGCCGCGUGAGUGAUGAAGGUCUUCGGAUCGUAAAACUCUGUUAUUAGGGAAGAACAAAUGUGUAAGUAACUGUGCACGUCUUGACGGUACCUAAUCAGAAAGCCACGGCUAACUACGUG
rnacentral:rRNA from 1 species